UACGGAGGGAGCUAGCGUUGUUCGGAAUUACUGGGCGUAAAGCGCACGUAGGCGGCUUUGUAAGUUAGAGGUGAAAGCCCGGGGCUCAACCCCGGAAUUGCCUUUAAGACUGCAUCGCUUGAAUCCGGGAGAGGUGAGUGGAAUUCCGAGUGUAGAGGUGAAAUUCGUAAGAUAUUCGGAAGAACACCAGUGGCGAAGGCGGCUCACUGGACCGGCAUUGACGCGUGAGGUG
rnacentral:rRNA from 1 species